GGAGAAGUAUUCACCUUUUUCACGAUCCCACACAAGCUGAUAGACAGGCGAUUUGCAUAAGGCCCACAGUGCGUCCUAUCCAGACGCACUCUUUUUGCAUAAAACAACAUAGGGGGAGACGACAAACUGCAGAAACUCAGCCUGCUGAUGAAACACAGGCCCUGGUACUGUGUCUGGCCCCGCUCCGGUUCCCCCAGGACCAGCGCCCGCAGGAUCUUCACAUGCUGAGAACAACACAAUAACCGUCAGGAGCCAACAAAACAACACCGACGGACCAAGUCCAAAUGUUGAGAAAAAGUGUGUGUCCACUCACCCGCUUGAAAUCUGCCAGGAAGGUGAUGAGAGUGCCGUCCGUGUGCCUGAACUCUACACUGAUGAUGUCCCGCUCGCUGUCCGACUCUAAAGUCUCCGCGGUUAUCUGAC